rnacentral:rRNA from 1 species
GACGAACGCUGGCGGCGUGCUUAACACAUGCAAGUCGAACGGCAAGGCCCUGCUUUUGUGGGGUUCCCGAGUGGCGAACGGGGGAGUAACACGUGAGUAACCUGCCCUUGUUUUUGGGAUAACUUCAGGAAAGUGGGGUUAAUACCGUACAGGAGCCGCCGCUGCGUUGAGGGGGUUGGAAAGUUUCGGCGGGCGGGGCUGGACUCGCGGCUUAAGAGUUUGUUGGUUGGGUAGUGGCUUACCAAGGCUUUGGCGGGUAGCCGGCCUGGGAGGGUGACCGGGCACAUGGCGCCUGCGAGACGGAGCAGACGGCUACAGGAGGCAGCAGUCGCGAGUAUUGCACAGCGGGAGGACGCCUGAUGCAGAAGCGCUGCGUGCGGAAUGACGGCCUUUGGGUAAAGAACAGCUUCAGGCUAAGACGAAGCGUGAGUGACGGUAAUCGAUAAAGAAGCACCGGCUAACUACGUG